GAAAUCAUCAGUUCAGGACAAGAUCAUGUUUUCCAGAAUAUCAUCUUCCAAUGCCUUCUUUAAUUGUAUGUAUCUCCUGGGGACCACAAAUAUGAGUGACAGGAUAAUAGGAGGACAUACCACAGCUAUGUGGGUUACCAUCUAGACAAGAAGCAGAAAGGAUCGGAAAGAACUCAAAAGAUGCAUAUUUAACAGACCAAUUGCCUUUUUAUUUUGAGUCUUUGUAGUUGAAUUCCGAGAAACUUUAUUAUUUUUUUUCUGAGAAAGAAAAGUUCUGAAAAAUCUUGCAAUGUUUGAUGAACACAAAAGGAUUGAGUUAAGAAGACAGUGCUUACCUUUAAAUUAGUGAAGGAAUAUAGGUAAUACAUUAAUGAAGGAGUAUACCAGUCUUCUUCAAGACUUCUUGGGCAUAUUGUAAUCCAUAAAUUAAUAUUCAUUGAUUAAACAUUAUAGGGUAUGCCUGUGACAAAUUUAGGGCAUUAUUUAUUAAUUUAGUUGAACAAUUAUUAUGUGUCUACUAUGUGCACUGUUGCCUUAACUGAACAAGUAAUAAUCCUAAAUUCAAGGGGUUUAAGAUAGAAUCACAGUCUCUCCAGUAAUAUUAGAGAGUGUCUAAUGCAAAAUAUUCACAGAAAACAAUUUUAAAAGGAAAUAGGAGAACAACAAUUUUAAGUGACUUUCUCCAAGUUUAAGGAAUAGUUUCAAAGAAUAUCUGGACAUCCUGAUUAUAUUUUGGAACAGAAGUUAAUUGUUUUUAUGUGAACAGAUAUUUUACUAUUAUUUUGAAAAUGUUGCUAAAAGGAGUAUUAAAUAAGCAAAGAAAAGACCAUUAGCUUGAAUAUAUUGCUGUAUUUUUGAGUUCAUAGAUAACAAGCCAUAAUCUUAUUUACUACAUCAACCAACAUACACCUAAUUAGGAGUGUUUUUUUUUUUUUUUUGAAUAGCCAUGUUUCAGCCAAUCAUUGAUAAGUUCCAGUUAGUCAUAGGCUACCAACCAGCUAGAACAUGUCCAAUUAAUGGGAAUAUCAAGCUGUUUUCCAAUCAGAUAACUUUUCCAUUUUGCUUCCAUGUUCAGUCUGUAUACGCUUGCUGCUUACACCACUGAUGGAACUCUGAACCUCCUUGAAUUCUGAGAAGUGUCCAGUUCAUAAAUCACUCUUUACUCAAAUAAACUAUUAAAUUUAA